rnacentral:rRNA from 1 species
UACGUAGGGGGCAAGCGUUGUCCGGAUUUAUUGGGCGUAAAGAGCGUGUAGGCGGCCAAACAGGUCAGCUGUGAAAACUCGAGGCUACAACCGCGAGCGUCGGGUUGAAACCGUUUGGCUAGAGUCCGGAAGAGGAGAGUGGAAUUCCCGGUGUAGCGGGUGAAAUGCGCAGAUAUCGGGAAGAACACCCGUGGCGAAGGCGGCUCUCUGGGGACGGUACUGA